rnacentral:rRNA from 1 species
GACGAAGGGGGCUAGCGUUGUUCGGAAUUAUUGGGCGUAAAGAGCGUGUAGGCGGCCGUACAGGUCAGCUGUGAAAACUCGAGGCUCAACCUCGAGACGUCGGUUGAAACCGUACGGCUAGAGUCCGGAAGAGGAGAGUGGAAUUCCCGGUGUAGCGGUGAAAUGCGCAGAUAUCGGGAAGAACACCCGUGGCGAAGGCGGCUCUCUGGGACGGUACUGACGCUGAGACGCGAAAGCGUGGGGAGCGAACAGG